UACGUAGGGGGCAAGCGUUGUCCGGAUUUACUGGGCGUAAAGAGCGUGUAGGCGGCCAAGCAGGUCCGUUGUGAAAACUGGAGGCUUAACCUCCAGACGUCGACGGAAACCGCGUGGCUAGAGUCCGGAAGAGGAGAGUGGAAUUCCUGGUGUAGCGGUGAAAUGCGCAGAUAUCAGGAAGAACACCAAUGGCGAAGGUAGCUCUCUGGGACGGUACUGACGCUGAGACGCGAAAGCGUGGGGAGCGAACAGG
rnacentral:rRNA from 1 species